CUCGCCGCGGUGGCUGACGGGAGGUGGAAAGAAAACGAGGGUGUGUCGGCCAUUUUGUGUCUGUUUCCUGUGGGACGCGGCGGUG
rnacentral:pre_miRNA from 1 species